UACGAAGGGGGCUAGCGUUGCUCGGAAUCACUGGGCGUAAAGGGUGCGUAGGCGGGUCUUUAAGUCAGGGGGGAAAUCCUGGAGCUCAACUCCAGAACUGCCUUUGAUACUGAGGAUCUUGAGUUCGGGAGAGGUGAGUGGAACUGCGAGUGUAGAGGUGAAAUUCGUAGAUAUUCGCAAGAACACCAGUGGCGAAGGCGGCUCACUGGCCCGAUACUGACGCUGAGGCACGAAAGCUAGGGUAGCGAACGGG
rnacentral:rRNA from 1 species